rnacentral:misc_RNA from 1 species
ACAAAUCCAAUAUGUAGGUUUGGGGGUGAAUAACCCUCUACCUAAUAUUAAACCGCUAGUCCGAUUAAUUAAUUAGUGGGACUAGUUGGAUAUAUAUGCAUGUUAUGUUGACAGUGUGUGUAAUUAAAAAUUUAUUGA